rnacentral:rRNA from 1 species
AGUGAACGCUGGCGGUAGGCCUAACACAUGCAAGUCGAACGGCAGCACAGUAAGAGCUUGCUCUUACGGGUGGCGAGUGGCGGACGGGUGAGGAAUACAUCGGAAUCUACUUUUUCGUGGGGGAUAACGUAGGGAAACUUACGCUAGUACCGCAUACGACCUACGGGUGAAAGCAGGGGAUCGUCGGACCUUGCGCGAUUGAAUGAGCCGAUGUCGGAUUAGCUAGUUGGCGGGGUAAAGGCCCACCAAGGCGACGAUCCGUAGCUGGUCUGAGAGGAUGAUCAGCCACACUGGGACUGAGACACGGUCCAGACUCCUACGGGAGGCAGCAGUGGGGAAUAUUGGACAAUGGGCGCAAGCCUGAUCCAGCCAUACCGCGUGGGUGAAGAAGGCCUUCGGGUUGUAAAGCCCUUUUGUUGGGAAAGAAAAGCAGCAGGUUAAUACCCCGCUGUUCUGACGGUACCCAAAGAAUAAGCACCGGCUAACUUCGUG